UGCUGGGAGCCAUUAGCCAAGUAGGUAUGACAAUUUCCUUGCCAGCGUACCCCAUGUUGCUUAGUGGAAGGACUCGUGGAAAUAGGACAUUUUGCAGUGACAUUGCAGUUAGGUGACCUUGCUCAAGGACCAGGGCGGAUCCGGGAUUAGGGUGUUCCCGGUUUAGGAUAAUCGGGUUUAGGGCGUUCCAGGUUUAAGAUUAUUCCUGCUGGGAAUAGGGCGUAUCCUGCUGCCUGAGUUCCCCUUGAGUUCUCACGGGAUUCAGACAGUAUUUUUUUGGGAGAUAGAAGCCCAGUGGAGAGGGAUUUGGGCAGAGAACGUGGAUUUCCCCAGAACGUGAUUGUAGACGGCUGGUGUGAGUUCGGGAAUAAAGAGUUGCUGUUUGAAUCUACAAGCUGUGUGGUGGCUCGUGAUUGUGUGCCCAGCCAGACUGCGGCAUUUGUGCCCAGCCAGACUGCGGCAAUUAUGCCCACCUUGCUCUGCUCUACUAGUAAUUCUCCAUAUCUCCUCACUUCAUCAACUCCUAACUCAGGUCCUGAUCCCCAGCCCUCUUCAUUUACUGCCCCCCAAAUAGCAGAUGAACCUCCACCAAAAGUAAGAAAAAAGGGGAAAAAAAUCCAAACCACUUACAGCUUGGCUGGCUAUUUUAUCUGCUUUCAUUCUACCAGCUUGCUUUCUUAACAAGUUCUUUCCUAAUGGUACAGAACAAGAAGAAAAAUGGAAUGAUUUCAUAUAUACAAAUUUUCUUUUCCUUGAGAAUCUUUAGUAUAAAGUUUUCAGUGCUCUCUCAUUCUUUCAGUAUCUGAACUGACUCUAAUCUAAGCUAGAAGUAAACUCUGAUAAAGAUGUUCUACAUGCUCUCUUACUCCUGUACUAUAGCUGUGUAUUUAGAAAUCAUGUUUUGUAAAAAUCCUAUAUUUUUGAGCUCAUAAUUUUAUGGUAAAUUCAUAUUUGAUCUUGUGCACCUAAAUUAAGGUAUUUUUCUCAUCCGUUUUAUUUUAUCUAACUAUAGAAGUUUUAUACUUUGUUUUUGUUCAGAGACCAAUUUUUCAAGGGUUGACUCUCAAUGACAUUGAAAAAUCUCCUUUUACUAAAUCCUAAAAGGGACAUAAAUAUAUUGAUGUUGGGCCUAAGGCUUAUUUUGAAGGCAAAUAGCCAGAUAUCUGAAUCUUUGAUUUCAAUGUCCCACAUGGCUAUUAGAUUUUAUACCUGGAAUUUCCAACUGUAUAGGCCUGCUACAUAUUUAAAUCAUAAUGUAAAAGUCUGAUAGCCUUGAUUUUUAUUUCUAACAGAUCAAAUCUAAUAGAGGUUUUAAUAAACACCUGUAACAUUGACUCCUACCUGUGGAGCUCCCCUUACAAAAAAGAUAGAAAAUCUUUGUUUCUUGUUUAUUUUGUGUAUCUGUCUAUGUAUGUAUACAAUAUUGUUGUGUCUACAUAUGUGUUUGUGUUCCUCUAUCAUGUACAUGGUAUCAACAUUGGCAUAUAGAUAAAUGAGCAAUCAAAAAUUUAAAUUUAAAUAAAAAAUGGAUCCAAAUAUCUUUUAGUGUAUGUGAUUUAAAAAGGAAGUUCAAUUUAAAUUAGGCAAACAGAUGAGAGUAAAGAUGUCUUUAAAAUUACUAAUGCACAUGUUUUUCUAGGUGGUCAGACAAUUAACAGAGUAUUAGUUUCCUUAAAAUAUCUAAAAUGUAAUAUGGAUUGUUUCUAGGAUUUCUCUUCAACAAGGAAGAGAUAGCUACUACUGUUAACUGUACUUGGCUGAUAUCUUGAUUUUUACCAUUAAAAUGAAUAAAUUAGAUUUAAC
rnacentral:lncRNA from 1 species